GGGCGUGUACUAGUUUCGACGGGGGAGGCUGGUGCCGCGUGGCAGGUCGUGGCGCUUGACCACGUUAAAACGAGCACGGCUAUAAAUGCCAAACAAAACCAACCUGCUUUCGCUUACGCCGCCUAAGGCGUAGCCGAGAGUGCUGGGUCAUAGUAACCCAGCCGUCCGUCCAGAUCGGCGCUGCCCGGUUUGGUUACGGGCGUUACCAAUGGCAGCGUGCUGUGCGGCGAUGUCGAUAAACCGUGCUUAAGAUCAUCGGCUGGUGGAUGGCGAACCGUGUUGACCGGGCUAUCAUCCACGAGAACCAAAUAGUCAACUAAACCUGUAGAGGCGUGUCAUCGAAUCUUUCGGACGAGGGUGCGACUCCCUCCACGUCCACAC
rnacentral:tmRNA from 1 species